rnacentral:rRNA from 1 species
UACAGAGGCCUCGAGCGUUGCGCGGAAUCACUGGGCGUAAAGAGCGCGCAGGCGGUCGUUCAAGUCGCGUGUGAAAGCCCCCGGCUCAACUGGGGAGGGUCACGCGAUACUGAUCGACUCGAAGGCAGGAGAGGGUAGUGGAAUUCCCGGUGUAGUGGUGAAAUGCGUAGAUAUCGGGAGGAACACCAGUGGCGAAGGCGACUACCUGGCCUGUUCUUGACGCUGAGGCGCGAAAGCUAGGGGAGCAAACGAG